rnacentral:rRNA from 1 species
AGCGAACGCUGGCGGCGUGCUUAACACAUGCAAGUCGAACGGAUCCGGGGGGCAACCCUCGGAUUAGUGGCGAACGGGUGAGUAACACGUGGGUCAUCUCCCCCCGAGUGAGGAAUAAGCUUGCGAAAGCGGGUCUAAUACCGCAUGAAGCUUCGCGACACAAGUCGUCGAAGCCAAAGCCGUAAGGCGCUUGGGGAUGAGCCUGCGUCCUAUUAGCUAGUUGGUAGGGUAAUGGCCUACCAAGGCGAUGAUGGGUAGCCGGCCUGAGAGGGUGAACGGCCACACUGGGACUGAGACACGGCCCAGACUCCUACGGGAGGCAG